rnacentral:lncRNA from 1 species
AUGAGGAUAUCAGAGAGAUGGAGGCAAGAGAAUCUGGAAUGCGGCAGAGCCAGAGAUUUUCACUGGAGUGAGAACUGUGACAUGAUGAGACUGAUGGGAGAUGGAGCAAAUGACAUGACACAGAUAAGGAUGCAAAUAAUGGAAGCUUUCACUUUGGAGAAUCUGAGCUUUCAGAUUGAACCGUAUGAGAGGGAAGAGGACAGACCCAAGAGCAUUCUCAGUGUGCCCAUCCUGAACCACAAAAAUGAGGUUAUAGGUGCUGUCAUGGCUGUGAACAAAAGCAGGCCAGGCACAUGUGCAGGGAGCUUUUUCUCAGAACAAGAUGAGAAAGUGCUGUUGUCACACAUGGUGUGGUUCGGACUGGAAAACUUUCAGCUUUGUACUGUUGGAAUUGACUCAGCUGGUGUCACAUGA